GCAUGUCUAAGACCCUGGCUGUGGCAAAACCGUGUCUCAAAGCUGAAUCUGCGUAAAGCUCCACAAAACUGUUAGAACCUUUCACCCCCCACGGUUGACUGUAUCUAAUCAUGGAUAUUCCCAGAAAAUCCGUGAUUAAUACAAUCAACCCGACCGGCAUUCAGGCAUGAGCACAUUUGCAUGAACCGCUGGGGCCUCCCCGAUCCGGCGAGCCAAGCUGUCGCAUACCCACCCUCCCGGUAUUCCUGCCGGGCAGAUAGUGUGGGGCUUCGGUGCGGUCCGUCUGAAAGGGGGGAGAGUGCCUCUCCGUUUUGCAAAAAUGCCUGAUACCCGGGCGCGGGGCGGUGGCUGGCUGACAGACUCAUCAACCACGGGACGCGGGCUCUGCCCCGUACCGGUGUUGACGGGUACAGAGGAUCAGGGUUCGAUCCUGGAGAGGUAGCCUGAGACACGGCUGCCACAGCCAAGGUGGGCAGCAGGCGCGCAACGUUCCCAGUGGCUAGGCUGCUGAGGACGUAACGGAACAUAGCAAUGUGGGCUAACUUCGGUUAGUCUGCAAUUGAAAUGGGGGGAUAUCAAAUAUCUCCUCGAGUAACAA
rnacentral:rRNA from 1 species